rnacentral:rRNA from 1 species
AUGGAGCCGACCUUGAAAUACCACCCUUUAAUGUUUGAUGUUCUAACGUUGACCCGUAAUCCGGGUUGCGGACAGUGUCUGGUGGGUAGUUUGACUGGGGCGGUCUCCUCCUAAAGAGUAACGGAGGAGCACGAAGGUUGGCUAAUCCUGGUCGGACAUCAGGAGGUUAGUGCAAUGGCAUAAGCCAGCUUGACUGCGAGCGUGACGGCGCGAGCAGGUGCGAAAGCAGGUCAUAGUGAUCCGGUGGUUCUGAAUGGAAGGGCCAUCGCUCAACGGAUAAAAGGUACUCCGGGGAUAACAGGCUGAUACCGCCCAAGAGUUCAUAUCGACGGCGGUGUUUGGCACCUCGAUGUCGGCUCAUCACAUCCUGGGGCUGAAGUAGGUCCCAAGGGUAUGGCUGUUCGCCAUUUAAAGUGGUACGCGAGCUGGGUUUAGAACGUCGUGAGACAGUUCGGUCCCUAUCUGCCGUGGGCGCUGGAGAACUGAGGGGGGCUGCUCCUAGUACGAGAGGACCGGAGUGGACGCAUCACUGGUGUUCGGGUUGUCAUGCCAAUGGCACUGCCCGGUAGCUAAAUGCGGAAGAGAUAAGUGCUGAAAGCAUCUAAGCACGAAACUUGCCCCGAGAUGAGUUCUCCCUGACUCCUUGAGAGUCCUGAAGGAACGUUGAAGACGACGACGUUGAUAGGCCGGGUGUGUAAGCGCAGCGAUGCGUUGAGCUAAUCGGUACUAAUGAACCGUGAGGCUUAACCUU